ACCGAGUAGAAGUGCCUGCGUGGUGUCCACACAGAUUGUCUGAUGAUAAGAAAGAGUCAAAAGCGUCUUGCGAAGCUGACAAGUGAUGUCCCCUUCGUCUAGAGGCCCAGGACACCGCCCUUUCACGGCGGUAACAGGGGUUCGAAUCCCCUAGGGGACGCCAAUGACUGACAGUGGGUGAAAGGCACGGUCAACGCUAACCUAAAACUGAUUAGAGAUAGUCAGGUUUAUGUUAUCUGCUCUUUAACAAUCCGGAACAAGCUGAAUAAUUUGAAACGACGGCAUAUGAAUGUGAAUUCAUGUGUUGUUCGAGUCUC
rnacentral:misc_RNA from 1 species